AGUUUGAUUAAAAAUAUUUUAGGAAUAAAUAAGUUUAAAAGUAUGAAAGAAAUAUUUUUAUCGAAAUAUUUUUACAUAGAAAUAUGAUUAAAAAGAGAAGGUUUAAUUAUGCGGAUAUAUUCGAUAUCCGAUCCGACCCGAUCCGCAAAUGUGCGGAUCGGAUCCGGCACUAAAAAGUGCGGAUAUCAUAUCCGAUCCGAUCCGAUAGAAAUUGUGCGGAUCGGAUCGAAUUUUCGGCCAUAUCCGAUCCGAUCUGAUCCGCGGACACCCCUAUCAGGAAUUGCUACAUAGGAAGAUCGUUAUGAUGAUACGAACUUGUAGGCGAGGAUAAUCCGGUGAAGCAGUCAGAUAUAGAGAUAGAACUUACAUGGGGGAAUGUUAAAGAGGAGAGAGUGGUCAGAGAUAGAAAAGCUUUCUUGCUGCACAGUCAAUUUGUUGAUACCUCGAUAUUCAUGGCCAUCAAGGCAAUACAGCAUGUCAUGGAAUCCAAUAUAAAGACUGAAUCAAAUUCUCCAAGUUCAAUUCUGCAUGAAGAGCGCGUAGGAGACUUGUCAGUUGUUGUCAAAUGCGAUAUUCGCAAUGGAAAUAGAGUUUAAGUGCUAUAAGUAUUUUUUUCUCAUUUUAUUUGCAUCAUGAAGCAAACUUAUACAAUAAUUAUUAAUUAAUAAAAGAGUCUAUAAAAAUUUUAUUU